AGGAAAAAAAAGAGGGAGGGAGCUCUCUCGCAUGUAGAAAAAACAGAGGGAGAGAUGAAAAAUGGACGAUAAACGAGUGGCUUUGUUCUCCUGAGGGGCUGGGUUCAGCGGCGGAUGAAGAGCGAACUCUUACUGGGAAAUCACAGCUUGGCACAGUUACAAAAGGAAGGACGUGCGGCUCUUCACACUUUGGUUGAACGAAAGGAAAACAAGAUACAGAACUAUCCCUACAAAGCCAGACUGCAACUUGUGUGCUCAUCCUUAUUUGGGGAGGCACUGAUGCACCUUCGUCUCUCUCGAUACGGACUCUGAUACUUGACCUCUGAAUAUACCGAUCCAAUACCUGACAUACACAGUAAUAACUAAGAUGAUACAGCGGGAUGCCACUAAACACCAAAACCAAAGACAGCCCAGUAACCCGUCCAGUCGGCUUUAAAAAGGUUCAUUUUGAUGUGAACAGUCAGUCAUCUGUCGUCCAACUUGAAAGUUGUCCUCAUCAUGAAAUGAAAUUCUCCCAUGUGCCGACCAGAUCGCAAAUAUGUUUGCUGGCUUUGUUUCCAACAAAUCAUUUGGUGCUCAAUUAACAGCAAUGUAAUUUAAUAAUAUUAUUACAGAGAUUAUGUCGCAAUAUUCAGUGUGAAUA